rnacentral:rRNA from 1 species
AGAGUUUGAUCCUGGCUCAGGACGAACGCUGGCGGCGUGCCUAAUACAUGCAAGUCGAGCGGACCGGAUUGGGGCUUGCCUUGAUUCGGUCAGCGGCGGACGGGUGAGUAACACGUGGGCAACCUGCCCGCAAGACCGGGAUAACUCCGGGAAACCGGAGCUAAUACCGGAUAACACCGAAGACCGCAUGGUCUUUGGUUGAAAGGCGGCCUUUGGGCUGUCACUUGCGGAUGGGCCCGCGGCGCAUUAGCUAGUUGGUGAGGUAACGGCUCACCAAGGCGACGAUGCGUAGCCGGCCUGAGAGGGUGACCGGCCACACUGGGACUGAGACACGGCCCAGACUCCUACGGGAGGCAGCAGUAGGGAAUCUUCCGCAAUGGGCGAAAGCCUGACGGAGCGACGCCGCGUGAGCGAAGAAGGCCUUCGGGUCGUAAAGCUCUGUUGUGAGGGACGAAGGAGCGCCGUUCGAAGAGGGCGGCGCGGUGACGGUACCUCACGAGAAAGCCCCGGCUAACUACGUGCCAGCAGCCGCGGU